GAGUGCCCCCUCCGGCUCGGACCUCUCAUACUUCUGGGGAAAAGAGGGGCGCGGUAGUGGGGGAAGGGAAGAAGAUGUUCCCCCCCCCGAGGCGUCCCUGACUCGCCUAACCCCGAAAAGCGGACACGGCUUCUGCCGCCAUCGGGUCCGCCAACCCCCUAAUGGGGGAAGUGGGAGAAGAAAGGGGAGGGGUCGCCCCGCCCCCUGCUGCUGAGGGGGAAGAGGGUUCCCGGCUCUCGGAGAUGGGAAUACUAAUGAGAGCGACAGAGCGAGACAGGAGCAUUGAGCUGGCUGCCCGGAGCACAGCACCGUGCGCUAGCUACUCAGUAGUAUUACCCCUCAGGGAGUGAGGACCCCUCGAGCUAACUUCUGUGCAUCUGCAACAAAACGGUGGGACCCGUCCCAAAGUCCUUAAUAUCUACAUACCGAGAGCCAAAAGCUGGGUGCAACGAGGAGGUUGGAGAAACACAUGGUAACAGUUAAAGGAUAACGUGACAUUAUUGGCCCACUGGGAGGAUUUGAGGACUGGCACUGGCCCUAAGGAAACCAUUUCAGACGUGUCAUUCCUACACAGUGUAUAUAAACUGCAUGCAUGCAAAAUGCAAGAAGUGCAAGAAAGAAAUGCAAGUCCUGAUUGCCCGAAUGAAACAACAUCAUGAGAAGUGUUCCUUCUCAGGAGGAAGCUGCAUUGAAGAUGAUGAAAGGAACAUGUCUGAACAUGCAGGAUAUUCAGGAUGAAGAGAUGGUUUUUACAGGAGGCUUGAGAUCUCUUCUUCCCCUUGCAGUCAGAAGUCUAAUUCGAUUCAACAAACUCAAUAUAAGUAAUACUUCUGGAAUGGCUGAGGGCUAUAAACAGGCAAAUGUUGUGAUUUUGCACAAAUCCCUUGCUGAUGACUUUGAAAAGUUUUGCCAUGCAAAUGAUGGACCUCUCCCGCUGCUGUACAGAAGUAAACCAGGUGAAUGGAAAUGUCCUUCUCUGAGCAGCAAUUCUGAUAUCAAAACUGAUUGCCUGCAAUACAGGAUAUAUGAGUAUGGAGCUUGUACUGGCACUUUGACAAGUCUAAAGGAUUAUUUUGAUCAGCUUAAAGACAUGGUGACUUUUUACUUAGGCUGCAGUGACUCAUUUGAAAAGGCAGCCCACAAAGUUGGUGUUCCUCUAAGGAACGUUGAGCAGAAAUGCAACGUAAGCAUGUACAAGACAGAUAUGCCUUGCUGCAGAGUUGCUAGUUUUUGCUGCAAUUUAGUGGUCACAAUGAGACCGAUUCCUGAAGACAAGUUAGAAGCAGUUGUGGAAGCUACUUAUCCAUUGAAAGACUCACAUGGAGCACCAGUUCAUAUUGGUAACCCUGGCCUAUUAGGAAUCCAAAACCUUUCCAGCCCAGACUAUGGAGAUCCAGUUCAGCCUCACCCUCAGGAUGUUCCAGUGUUUUGGGCCUGUGGAGUAACAGGGGUGGAAGCAGUCAGCAACUGCAAGUCUCCGCUGGCUUUUACACAUUCUCCUGGGUGCAUGUUUAUUACUGACCUGAAGAAUGAAGAUGCUCCAGUUCAUAACUCUAAAGAAAUCCCCAAGGUCCACUGCAUUUCUCAAAAUCCUUUGCAUUAUAGCAUUGCAUCAGAAACAGCUGUGCAAAAGAUAAGAGAGCUAGAAAGCCUAAUUGGAGUAGAUCCAGGAGACCGGGGCGUGAAACAUUUGUGCUGCCAGGAUGAGCUGCUAAAGACUUGCCUCUCCCUUUCACAUGCCCGAUCAGUGCUGAUAACCACUGGAUUUCCUACUCACUUCAACCAUGAGCCACCUGAAGAGAAUGAUGGACCUCCAGGAGCCAUUGCUAUGGCAGCCAUGUUGCAGAGCUUGGAGAAAGAUGUUGUUAUAGUAACAGACCAGAGAGCCAUGGGUUUGAAUAAAAAGAUUAUUGAGGAUGCUGUUCAGCAAGGGGUACUGAAGACACCAGUGCCUCUAUUGAGUUAUCAGGGAGAUGCUGCAGAGUCAGCUUUGAUGUUUUUGUGUGAGAAUGGGAAUCUUGAAAGACCCAGAUUUGAUCACCUGAUAGCAAUAGAACGUGCAGGGAUGUCUGCUGAUGGCAAUUAUUACAAUGCAAGGAAAGUCAAUAUUAAGCAUCUAGUGGAUCCCAUAGAUGAACUGUUUCUAGCUGCACAUAACAUCCCUGGAGUCACAACAACAGGCAUUGGGGAUGGAGGAAAUGAACUUGGAAUGGGAAAAGUAAAAGAAGCUGUAAGGAAGCACAUAAAAAAUGGAGAUGUUAUAGCUUGUGACGUUGAAGCUGAUUUCGCUAUUGUAGCCGGAGUCUCUAACUGGGGAGGCUAUGCUGUUGCUUGUGCUCUGUAUAUCCUCAACACCUGUGAAAUACACGAUCGCUAUCUGCGGAAAGCUAUUGGGUUCCCCAGAUUGUCCAAGAAGGCAAACUGGGCAUCAGCACUUCCAUCCAUUACUAAGGAAGAAAAGUUACUGAAGACACUUAUACAGCAUGGAGUCCGUAGUGGAAUAACUGCCAGUCUCGAAAUGGAAGUGGAUGGACUGCCCUUCUACAAUAUACACUCAGUUAUGAUUGAAAAACUUCUGGAGCAGAUACCGUGAUGCCUUUUCCCUAACCAUUUCUAAACUCUAGAGUAUCUCUCCACCCCUAAUCUAACAAGGUCUCUGUAAAAGACUGUUUGUGUGAAUGAGGAAUGCAUGCAUCAGGAAAAGAUAAGAUGUGAAGGCCAAAGUUAACCAGAUGGUCAAGAAAGGAGGAGCGAAGACACUUAUCGAGACUUAUUGACACCAGAGAACCAUCAACGUGCAUCUAUAAGUGAGGAAGGACAGAUUGAUGACCAUGAGGUGGAGGCUGGCACCCCUAAAGACAAUUGAUUAAAUCAAAUCCAGGACAGGAUGACCAUCUCGGAGGUGUUUUGGAAUGUUUACAUCAAAAGAUAACACCAAUUAAGGAGUAACCAGUCAUAAACUGACACAGCAAAAUCCAUAGACUUCAACAGAGAAAAAAAAGACUAUAAGAACAGGGUGCUUUACCAUGGGACUUUAAGUUUGUCUUGCCACAACCCCAGGAGCAUCGGAUCGUGACUGACAGAGCCCCUCUAGGACCAAUCUGGCCACUAGAUCGAUCCAGAUUCUGGACUGGUAACUAUAAACAUUGACUGGCGGGACUGUGUGUAUGGUGUAUGUGUGUGUGUGACUGAAAAGC